rnacentral:rRNA from 1 species
AUGAACCGGCAAUGUAUGUACGGUUCAAGACACACCUCCGAGUACAUUAAGGGCGUGCAUGAUUUUCUCGAAGUGGCUGAGGCAAACAAGCAGAAUGGUUUUAUGUGUUGUCCAUGCCCUAUAUGUGAGAAUACAAAGUGUUACUCUGACCGGAAAAUCCUCCACACCCACCUGCUUUACAAGGGUUUCAUGCCACACUAUAAUGUUUGGACGAGGCACGGAGAAAUAGGGGUUAUGAUGGAAGACGGCGAAGAAGAAGAGUGCGAUGACAACUAUGUGCCCCCUGAAUACGGUGAUGCUACUGAAGAUCAAGAGGAACCAGACGAUGUGCACGAUGAUGCUGCAACGGGCGAAGCUGCUGAAGAUCAAGAGGAACCAGACGAUGUGCCCGAUGAUGAUGAUCUCCGCCGGGUCAUUGUCGAUGCAAGGAUGCAAUGCGAAAGUCAAAAGGAGAAGCUGAAGUUUGAUCGCAUGUUAGAGGACCACAAAAAAGGGUUGUACCCCAAUUGCGAAGAUGGCAACACAAAGCUCGGUACCGUACUGGAAUUGCUGCAGUGGAAGGCAGAGAAUGCUGUGCCUAACAAAGGAUUUGAGAAGCUACUGAAAAUAUUGAAGGAGAAGCUUCCAAAGGAUAACGAAUUGCCCGACAGUACAUACGCAGCAAAGAAGAUCGUAUGCCCUCUAGGAUUGGAGGUGCAGAAGAUACAUGCAUGCCCUAAUGACUGCAUCCUCUUCCGCGGUGCGUACAAGGAUCUGAACGCAUGCCCGGUAUGCGGUGCAUUACGGUAUAAGAUCAGACGAGAUGACCCUGGUGAUGUUGACGGCGAGCCCCCCAGGAAGAGGGUUCCUGCGAAGGUGAUGUGGUAUGCUCCUAUAAUACCAUGGUUGAAACGUCUGUUCAGAAACGUAGAGCAUGCUAAGUUGAUGCGAUGGCACAGUGAGCACCGUAAGAAAGACGGGAAGUUAAGAGCACCCGCUGACGGGUCGCAGUGGAGAAAAAUCGAGAGAAAGUACUGGGAUGAGUUUGCAAGUGAGCCAAGGAACGUAUGGUUUGCUUUAAGCGCGGAUGGCAUUAAUCCUUUCGGGGAGCAGAGCAGCAAUCACAGCACCUAG